UAACUCUAGACAUUCUUCUAAUGUUUCUUAUUCCAGCCUCAAUUGACAAGGUCAUUGGGCUUUGCAACCAACCUUGGUCAACCUUAUACCCAACUUUGGGCAAC